CCUCUCUCAGGAUUGCACCUGGAGAGUUUCCAGUACUCUACCAGUCUCGACUACGGGAGGGAGCGUCAAACAGAGGCACAUCCAUUCCAUUCCUAGCUUGGCCAGUGGUUAGUGAAUGGAAGGCAAUCUGCUACAAGU
rnacentral:snoRNA from 1 species